UACAGGUUACUCUGUAACCUAGCAAAGAUAUCGGUCUUAAACCUUAAUUGUUUGAUACCUAUUUGUACUGCUACAGUGAUCUAAUUAGCUAUAAGGUUAGGUUAAAUGAUUUAAUACAUAAUUUGAUUUGAUUUUAAUAGAAAUAUCACGCAGUAAGUUCAAAGGUCGAUAAUACCUCUCCCACGUAUCUAGCCAGUCGAAUGGUGAGAGAUCUACCUGGUUGGGUUAAUAAUGCUCGUGAUUUAUAUUAUGAGAAUAUGAAGCUUGUAAUGGCUAUAAAAACGGCCCAUUUUAAGGGUAAAGUCGACAGCCGUUGGUCUCGACCUCCGCCAUCUUGUAGACAAUAUUAUGAACAUAGAUUAUACACGUACAAACGGAUAUGCAGAGAAAACAAACAAAUGUACCAUCGUAUUAUUCAUACUGUAAGUGUACUCUACAAUAAUCUUCUGUAAUAAUAAAUCAAUGAAGUGCAGCGGUU